rnacentral:rRNA from 1 species
UUGUUCCUACGGGAGGCAGCAGUGGGGAAUAUUGCACAAUGGGCGAAAGCCUGAUGCAGCAACGCCGCGUGAGGGAAGAAGGGUUUCGGCUCGUAAACUUCUAUCAACAGGGACGAAAGAAAUGACGGUACCUGAAUAAGAAGCCCCGGCUAACUACGUGCCAGCAGCCGCGGUAAUACGUAGGGGGCAAGCGUUAUCCGGAAUUACUGGGGGUAAAGGGUGAGGAGGCGGCAUGGUAAGCCAGAUGUGAAAGCCUUGGGCUUAACCCGAGGAUUGCAUUUGGAA